rnacentral:misc_RNA from 1 species
AACCUAGCACACCUGCGGUGUGUACCUGCGGAAGGAUCAUUAUAGUAUAUGGAAUCUCCAUUCUAUAAACCCACUCUGCGUAUCUUGUAACUGUUGCUUCCAUGGGACUUGGUUCCGCCACACCGGCUUCACGGCUGGUGAGCGCCCAUGGAAGGGGAAACAAAACUCUUCUUUGAAAUGUAGUCAGUCUGAACAAGUUUUUAUAAACGUUAAAACUUUCAACAAUGGAUCUCAGAUCGG